CUUUUUGUUUGCUUUGCAAUCCUAGCUUACUUUCGUUUAUACUGUGUAGCCAUAUGAAUCUCUCACUCAAACUUCCAGGGCCUUUUGGGGAAAAAUGAGAAGCUAAUGGGGCUUCCCUGGUAGCUCAGCUGGUAAAGAAUCUGCCUGCAAUGCAGGACACCCAGCUCCAGCACUUCCAGCUGACAUCCAUCCUGGGGUCCAAGGUGGAAGUUCUGAAGCAGUCGGAGAGUCUGAGGUAAGACGCUGGGCCUUGCUCCCCAUGGGGCUCCCUUUUCCAAUGGCCACUGGGUGCACCAGAUUGUAUUGAAAGAAUCCAGUUAGGGUAACCCCCUUACAUCAGAAAAAGGCCAUUUUGGAUUGAAGUUCAAAGAGGAUUCCAUCUUUGUUUUGACCU
rnacentral:lncRNA from 1 species